rnacentral:rRNA from 1 species
CCUACGGGAGGCAGCAGUCGAGAAUCAUUCACAAUGGGGGAAACCCUGAUGGUGCGACGCCGCGUGGGGGAAUGAAGGUCUUCGGAUUGUAAACUCCUGUCAUGUGGGAGCAAAUUAAAAAGAUAGUACCACAAGAGGAAGAGACGGCUAAUUCGGUGCCAGCAGCAGCGGUAAUACAGAGGUCUCAAGCGUUGUUCGGAAUCACUGGGCUUAAAGCGUGCGUAGGCUGUUUCGUAAGUCGUGUGUGAAAGGUGCGGGCUCAACCCGCGGGCGGCACAUGAUACUGCGGGACUAGAGUAAUGGAGGAGGAACCGGAAUGCUCGGUGUAGCAGUGAAAUGCGUAGAUAUCGAGAGGAACACUCGUGGCGAAGGCGGGUUGCUGGACAUUAACUGACGCUGAGGCACGAAGGCCAGGGGAGCGAAAGGGAUUAGAUACCCGGGUAGUC